rnacentral:rRNA from 1 species
GAUGAACGCUGGCGGCGUGCCUAAUACAUGCAAGUCGAGCGAACAGAUGAGGAGCUUGCUCCUCUGACGUUAGCGGCGGACGGGUGAGUAACACGUGGAUAACCUACCUAUAAGACUGGGAUAACUUCGGGAAACCGGAGCUAAUACCGGAUAAUAUAUUGAACCGCAUGGUUCAAUAGUGAAAGACGGUUUUGCUGUCACUUAUAGAUGGAUCCGCGCCGCAUUAGCUAGUUGGUAAGGUAACGGCUUACCAAGGCAACGAUGCGUAGCCGACCUGAGAGGGUGAUCGGCCACACUGGAACUGAGACACGGUCCAGACUCCUACGGGAGGCAGCAGUAGGGAAUCUUCCGCAAUGGGCGAAAGCCUGACGGAGCAACGCCGCGUGAGUGAUGAAGGUCUUCGGAUCGUAAAACUCUGUUAUUGGGGAAGAACAAAUGUGUAAGUAACUAUGCACGCCUUGACGGUACCUAAUCAGAAAGCCACGGCUAACUACGUG